UUGUAAAAAAAUUUUUAAAUAAUUAAAAAAAUGUAUCCAACAAUAUUAAAGAAGGCCUAUUAAUGUAAAUAAGCUGCUAGGUUCCGCCCCUCAUGCACAAAAGGACUCUUGACAUCAUUAUGACUAGUAAUAGAUUAUCAACAUUUCUUUCUAAGCUUGGAGGGAAUAAGCAUCAAUGCUGGUGAGGUGGGUUGUUGCCCAGUAAAGUUCAUCAGUGCUAAUACUGUUGCAUUCCGUUGCCAUAAUGGCACAGCUUGCACAUUCCAAAGACCCACACUGGCAAGCAAUAUAGUGUUCAUAUUAUUGCCCAAUGACUGUUGACUGAUGUAGUCCAAAACAUCUGGAGUGGCAAAGGUUGCCUUCCCCUGCUUUAAAACAUAUUAGUCUGCAACACUCUUGGCUUUGAAUUUGGCAGAAUUCCAUAAUCUACCACUGGGUUCAUUUUCAGGGUACUAUCUUAAAAACAUUGCCCACCUUGGCUGCACUUAAAGCUUAUGAAUACUUCCCAACUUGUACCUGUAGAGAUCUUACUUGAUAUACAUACUAGACUUGUGCACUGCAAGCAAACUUGGCUUGGUCAAAGCAUAUUUCCCAAACGAAGAACAUUUCGUCAGUUUAGCCCUGCAAAAUUUCGGUACAAAAAAACUGAUUCGGGAACCAAAUCAGAUGAAGGUGAAGGGUUCAAAAAUGGAGCAAUCGGUGUAACUCAAAAUAUGUCUGUAACAUUUUCCUGCCAUUUGGUUCACAGGUCAAGUGAAAAAGUAACCAACAGAGUGAAAAAGAGGAGGAAUAAAAAUAUACAUUUUUUGUACCGCUCCUCUUUUUUUCCCAUUCUACUCAUCACUUUUAAAAUUUAGGGAUUGUCCCCUAGCCAUCAAUAUUCUUUUUCCACCAAUCAGGUUUCAGAAUCACAAACUGAAAUGGACAUACUCUGCCUAUUCACGGUUCAGUUGGUUUGUGAUUCAGGCACAUUUCAACUCAGACAUCGGCAAUGCGAUAGUUCGCCCAUUUGGCAAAAAUGCUGAUGAAUUGACAUUUGGACUGAAACGUAUGUUCAAGUCCAGUCCAUACACAAUAUUCAAUGUUCAGUUCAGUCUGCUAAAAAAUUCUUAAAUUAUCUUUCUAUUUAUCAGGCAUCACCGAUCACUCUUUUGAACAUCAUAUUCUGUUACCUGCACAUCAAUCGUACAUUACUAUCACUUUUUUAAAAUUCACCUCCCCAACUUACAUUGUCUUGCUCCUGACAGAUUCACUUACUUUUUAUGGAAGCUUACUUACUUGUGGCUUAUUUUGUUAUGGAAGCCACCAUCACUGCUAUACCUGUUUUCCGUGCAUAGAGACGCUAAUCUCAGACAGAACUGAUACAAAAAACUGUAUAUAGAAGGAAGAACAUCUACAAGUUAGAUGUCUGAGUUCUGAUGACAAAAAAAGUGCUUAUAUGACAGUUGAGAGAUUUCUUGUAUCUCAGCUCAUUGGUACACCAUUUUGACCUAUUCCUUCUAGAUUAACAAUGUUCCAUUUGUUUCCCUCAUUCAUUAUCACUGGAUGUUAUAGAUUAUACUUACUGUACUCAAUCCAUUUUCAUAUACUUAAACUUACUUUCUAAAUAAUUGCAACCUACUGGCAAUCUAUAGUUAAAUGAAGGAAAUGCCUUCCCUCUCCCCCUUCUACUAUGCCAUAUUUAAACAAUGUAUUAUUUCUUUAUUAUACAAACCAUCCAACACACUUUUCAAACUUUGAACCCUUGAAUGUUAAAUGAACAAUUUAAGCAAGAUAAUCUCUGCAGACCACUGUAGUGAUUAUGGUGCCAGGAGUGCAUAGCCACUCACUCAGAGUAAGUAGUCAAACCAUUUGAGAAUGGUUUGACAACUUACCUGGUCUAAGGUCUGGGUGUUCUAUAUUUUUAGCUAAGCUGAUUGGCUGAGAUCAGUCAGCUGACACUCUCAGACUCUGGGUUUGUGUGAGAGGGCUUCGCUUAGUGAAGCUAAUAGAAGCUCCUUGCUUACCCUGGUAGGGUACCAAGGCACUCCUGGCACCAUAAUCACUACAUAACUCCUCCUUAUUUUUCACAGCACAUUGUUACCAGUUAUGUAUCGCCACUCUUAUGUACUCUAUUUAUAGUGCUGUACAACACAGGCAGCACAGAGCAGAAGCAAGCAUCAUUCUGUGUUUUCUAUGCAUCAAUACACUAAUCUCAAACAUGGUUUGGUCUGCCCAGGAUUGGUGGGAGUUAUGCUCUCAAGCACCAACUGCCACCAUUUUAAUUCCGAUCAUUCACAAUGUAAACCAAUGUAGGCGACUGAAAUAACUACCAUCUGGGAAUAAGACUCCUGCGUUUAUAUCCCAGAGCUGCCUUGACAAUAAAUAUCCAUGCUUAACCUUAAGUAUAUUCUUACACUACAGGCUGAAUGAAUUAGAAUCUAUUUUUCACUCAACAUAUAUAGAUUAAAGACUGGGGCAAUUAUUAAAGAUAACUGACAUAUAUAAAU
rnacentral:lncRNA from 1 species